UGUUCGGCUAGAGUGUUCUGCAGUCGAGCGGUAGAGAGAAGCUUGCUUCUCUUGAGAGCGGCGGACGGGUGAGUAAUGCCUAGGAAUCUGCCUGGUAGUGGGGGAUAACGCUCGGAAACGGACGCUAAUACCGCAUACGUCCUACGGGAGAAAGCAGGGGACCUUCGGGCCUUGCGCUAUCAGAUGAGCCUAGGUCGGAUUAGCUAGUUGGUGAGGUAAUGGCUCACCAAGGCGACGAUCCGUAACUGGUCUGAGAGGAUGAUCAGUCACACUGGAACUGAGACACGGUUCCAAGACUUCCUACGGGAGGCAGGCAGUGGCGAAUAUUGGACAAUGAGCGAAAGCCUGAUUCCAGGCCAUGCCGCGUGUGUGAAGAAGGUCUUUCGGAUUUGUAAAGGCACUUUAAGUUGGGAGGAAGGGCUAGUUACCUUAAUACGUAUUCUAUUUUUGACGUUACCGACAGAAUAAGCACCCGGCUAACUCUGUGCCAGCAGCCGCGGUAAUACAGAGGGUGCAAGCGUUAAUCGGAAUUACUGGGCGUAAAGCGCGCGUAGGUGGUUUGUUAAGUUGGAUGUGAAAUCCCCGGGCUCAACCUGGGAACUGCAUUCAAAACUGACAAGCUAGAGUAUGGUAGAGGGUGGUGGAAUUUCCUGUGUAGCGGUGAAAUGCGUAGAUAUAGGAAGGAACACCAGUGGCGAAGGCGACCACCUGGACUGAUACUGACACUGAGGUGCGAAAGCGUGGGGAGCAAACAGGAUUAGAUACCCUGGUAGUCCACGCCGUAAACGAUGUCAACUAGCCGUUGGGAGCCUUGAGCUCUUAGUGGCGCACCUAACGCAUUAACUUGACCGCCUGGGGAGUACAGCCGCAACGUUAAAACUCAAAUGAAUUGACGGGGGCCCGCACAAACGGCGGAGCAUGUGCGUUUAAUUUCGAAGCAACGCGAAAAAACCUUACCACGCCCUGACAUUCCAAUGAACUUUGCACAGAAAUGAAAUGGUGCCGUUCGGGAACAUUGGAGACAGGUGCUGCAUGGACUGUCGUCAACUCGUGUCGUCAGAUCUCUCGCUGGAAUAAAGUCCCGUAACAAGCAGCAACCAUUCGUUCCUUACCUACCAUGCACGUACAUGGUAGGCUACUUCUGCAAGGUAAACUGAAGGAUGCACAAACGCGUGAGUGAACGGAUCGAGAAUAGAAGAUCGAGAGUCACUGCAUCGGCCCUUACGGCCUGGGCUACACACGUGCUACAAUGGUCGGUACAGAGGGUUGCCAAGCCGCGAGGUGGAGCUAAUCCCAGAAAACCGAUCGUAGUCCGGAUCGCAGUCUGCAACUCGACUGCGUGAAGUCGGAAUCGCUAGUAAUCGCGAAUCAGAAUGUCGCGGUGAAUACGUUCCCGGGCCUUGUACACACCGCCCGUCACACCAUGGGAGUGGGUUGCACCAGAAGUAGCUAGUCUAACCUUCGGGAGGACGGUACACGGGAUGAUAUCCGCC
rnacentral:rRNA from 1 species